CUGACAUGCCCAAUGAGGAAUUCAAUGGCCGCAGUAUUUUAACUGUGCUAAGGUAGCAUAAUCAUUUGUCUUUUAAUUGAGGGCUGGAAUGAAAGGUUGGACGAGAUAUUGACUUUCUUUAGUUUAAUUUUAAGAAUUUAAUUUUUGAGUUAAAAAGCUUAAAUUUAUUUGUUGGACGAGAAGACCCUAUAGAUCUUUAUAAUUUUAUAUUUUGAUAAUUUGGAGAUUUUAUUUAUUGUAAGUAGAAGAAUUAUUUUGUUGGGGUGACUGUAGAAUUUUAUUAACUUCUAUUAUUUUUAUUUCAUUGAUUGGUGUUUUUUUGAUCCAUAUAUUUAUGAU
rnacentral:rRNA from 1 species